rnacentral:tRNA from 1 species
GGAAAUGUAGCUCAGUUGGUAGAGUGCUUGCCUUGCAUGCAAACCCUAGCAAAACACACACACACACACACACACACACACACACACACAAUGUCAGUCAUUUUCC